rnacentral:rRNA from 1 species
GCAUAUCAAUAAGCGGAGGAAAAGAAACCAACAGGGAUUGCCUUAGUAGCGGCGAGUGAAGCGGCAAAAGCUCAAAUUUGAAAUCUGGCGCCUUCGGUGUCCGAGUUGUAAUUUGAAGAUUGUAACCUUGGGGUUGGCUCUUGUCUAUGUUUCUUGGAACAGGACGUCACAGAGGGUGAGAAUCCCGUGCGAUGAGAUGCCCAAUUCUAUGUAAGGUGCUUUCGAAGAGUCGAGUUGUUUGGGAAUGCAGCUCUAAGUGGGUGGUAAAUUCCAUCUAAAGCUAAAUAUUGGCGAGAGACCGAUAGCGAACAAGUACAGUGAUGGAAAGAUGAAAAGAACUUUGAAAAGAGAGUGAAAAAGUACGUGAAAUUGUUGAAAGGGAAGGGUUUGAGAUCAGACUCGAUAUUUUGUGAGCCUUGCCUUCGUGGCGGGGUGACCCGCAGCUUAUCGGGCCAGCAUCGGUUUGGGCGGUAGGAUAAUGGCGUAGGAAUGUGACUUUACUUCGGUGAAGUGUUAUAGCCUGCGUUGAUGCUGCCUGCCUAGACCGAGGACUGCGAUUUUAUCAAGGAUGCUGGCAUAAUGAUCCCAAACCGCCCGUCUUGAACCACCGGACCAA